rnacentral:rRNA from 1 species
UCCUGGCUGUAAACGAUGUGCACUUGGUGUUGGGCCGCGAGGUUCAGUGCCGAAGCUAACGCAUUAAGUGCACCGCCUGGGGAGUACGACCGCAAGGUUGAAACUCAAAGGAAUUGACGGGGGCCCGCACAAGCGGUGGAGCAUGUGGCUUAAUUCGACGCAACGCGAAGAACCUUACCGGGGCUUGACAUGCAGCUGCAAAUCCGGCGAAAGCCGGAUUCCUUCGAGGGUGCUGCACAGGUGCUGCAUGGCUGUCGUCAGCUCGUGCCGUGAGGUGUUUGGUUAAGUCCAGCAACGAGCGCAACCCUUAUUCUUAGUUGCC